AAAAACCUUGUUAGUAUAUAACCUGUAAGUAAGUUUGUUUUCUAGUACCAGCGUGUUAGGUAAGCAUAAUGUUGGCAAGUCAGUAUA